GGGGGGGGGAGGGAAAUGUCACCCGGCGGGCGCGGUGCUGAGGGACGGAGCGAGGGGACGGAGGGACAGGGAGCGCCGCCGGCUGUCAAGCAGAGCAGUUGCCAAGUGAUCUUCUCCACAGCACCCACGAACUUUGGCCUUACACUGAAGAGGACUCGUCAAAUGCUUUGGGAGAUACAACACGGAAUUGGAAGAGAAGCAUGGAUCUACCUGAAGGGCAGUUCGCUGCAUUCUUGGUGUGUGGAGGAACGGGUCCCGUGCUCACUGUUGUUACUCCCACAUAGGCGGACUCUGUAACUGAUUAUAUGUGGGUAGGGCCCUAUUGAAAUUAAGGAGAUUCUGCAGUAGUGCGGGGUUCUGUUUGUGUGACCCUACUGUGCCUUCUUACUGUGAAUUCUGUCAGUGUAUCAUGGGUUGUGCUGGAACCUGCCUUUUGGGAUAAUUACCAAAUAAUAUAUUCCUCAAAACUUCUUAAUGGCACUGAGGCUUUGUGGAUAGUUGGUCACAUGAUGAGAAAAUUCAGCUAAAAUCCAUACAAUAUAUCCAUUAAGGAUAUCAUUAUUCUUGGAUAAUUCACCACGUGAACCCGGAGUCCUUCAGCACUGCUGUUAGCACUGUCCUAACUCCCCAUCUGGAUGACUGCUGACCAUUCCCUCUGAUGCUGACAUCAGUAUUUUCUGUGAGAGAGAGUACUGUAGUGAAGAGACAGAAAAAGAAGAAGAUGGCACUAUUGUGAUUUUGUUGUUGUAUGGCUUUGAAUCACCUACAAGUAUUGCUGCGACCGCAAAUUAAGUGUGCUGGUUUCCCAAUGAACUUGUAAUUUCAAGAUGUUUGUAGAAAUGUAAAAUCAAACGUGAACCGCAUUAAAGUCAUUUAAAUUUAACAAAAUAUAGCACUAGUCUUCUUUUAUUUUUAAUAUGGAGACCUACGUGGCUCACUUGCAGAAAGUGGGUUAUAUUUUAAAAGCUGUGGACUGGCAAGUUCUGACUUACUAAAGCAUAAAAUCAUUGUCCUCCUCCCUGUGGCAGUAGUUUCUUUAUUCAGACCCACUGCUUAAAGAUCUCUCCUGUUGUUUCCUUCUCUAUCUUCUCCUUUUUUACUUCCUUUUACUAGCUUGAGUUUCCUGUUCCUUUUUGCACCGAACUUUCCUAAGUCUCUUGGUCCAAAACCAGUCCCUUUUUCUCUCACGUAUACGUCCAUCAGCCUAAACUAC
rnacentral:lncRNA from 1 species